rnacentral:rRNA from 1 species
UUAAGCGACUAAGCGUACACGGUGGAUGCCCUGGCAGUCAGAGGCGAUGAAGGACGUGCUAAUCUGCGAUAAGCGUCGGUAAGGUGAUAUGAACCGUUAUAACCGGCGAUUUCCGAAUGGGGAAACCCAGUGUGAUUCGUCACACUAUCAUUAACUGAAUCCAUAGGUUAAUGAGGCGAACCGGGGGAACUGAAACAUCUAAGUACCCCGAGGAAAAGAAAUCAACCGAGAUUCCCCCAGUAGCGGCGAGCGAACGGGGAGCAGCCCAGAGCCUGAAUCAGUGUGUGUGUUAGUGGAAGCGUCUGGAAAGGCGCGCGAUACAGGGUGACAGCCCCGUACACAAAAAUGCACAUACUGUGAGCUCGAUGAGUAGGGCGGGACACGUGGUAUCCUGUCUGAAUAUGGGGGGACCAUCCUCCAAGGCUAAAUACUCCUGACUGACCGAUAGUGAACCAGUACCGUGAGGGAAAGGCGAAAAGAACCCCGGCGAGGGGAGUGAAAAAGAACCUGAAACCGUGUACGUACAAGCAGUGGGAGCACAGAGCAAUCUGUGUGACUGCGUACCUUUUGUAUAAUGGGUCAGCGACUUAUAUUCUGUAGCAAGGUUAACCGAAUAGGGGAGCCGAAGGGAAACCGAGUCUUAACUGGGCGUUAAGUUGCAGGGUAUAGACCCGAAACCCGGUGAUCUAGCCAUGGGCAGGUUGAAGGUUGGGUAACACUAACUGGAGGACCGAACCGACUAAUGUUGAAAAAUUAGCGGAUGACUUGUGGCUGGGGGUGAAAGGCCAAUCAAACCGGGAGAUAGCUGGUUCUCCCCGAAAGCUAUUUAGGUAGCGCCUCGUGAAUUCAUCUCCGGGGGUAGAGCACUGUUUCGGCAAGGGGGUCAUCCCGACUUACCAACCCGAUGCAAACUGCGAAUACCGGAGAAUGUUAUCACGGGAGACACACGGCGGGUGCUAACGUCCGUCGUGAAGAGGGAAACAACCCAGACCGCCAGCUAAGGUCCCAAAGUCAUGGUUAAGUGGGAAACGAUGUGGGAAGGCCCAGACAGCCAGGAUGUUGGCUUAGAAGCAGCCAUCAUUUAAAGAAAGCGUAAUAGCUCACUGGUCGAGUCGGCCUGCGCGGAAGAUGUAACGGGGCUAAACCAUGCACCGAAGCUGCGGCAGCGACGCUUAUGCGUUGUUGGGUAGGGGAGCGUUCUGUAAGCCUGUGAAGGUGUACUGUGAGGUAUGCUGGAGGUAUCAGAAGUGCGAAUGCUGACAUAAGUAACGAUAAAGCGGGUGAAAAGCCCGCUCGCCGGAAGACCAAGGGUUCCUGUCCAACGUUAAUCGGGGCAGGGUGAGUCGACCCCUAAGGCGAGGCCGAAAGGCGUAGUCGAUGGGAAACAGGUUAAUAUUCCUGUACUUGGUGUUACUGCGAAGGGGGGACGGAGAAGGCUAUGUUGGCCGGGCGACGGUUGUCCCGGUUUAAGCGUGUAGGCUGGUUUUCCAGGCAAAUCCGGAAAAUCAAGGCUGAGGCGUGAUGACGAGGCACUACGGUGCUGAAGCAACAAAUGCCCUGCUUCCAGGAAAAGCCUCUAAGCAUCAGGUAACAUCAAAUCGUACCCCAAACCGACACAGGUGGUCAGGUAGAGAAUACCAAGGCGCUUGAGAGAACUCGGGUGAAGGAACUAGGCAAAAUGGUGCCGUAACUUCGGGAGAAGGCACGCUGAUAUGUAGGUGAAGUCCCUCGCGGAUGGAGCUGAAAUCAGUCGAAGAUACCAGCUGGCUGCAACUGUUUAUUAAAAACACAGCACUGUGCAAACACGAAAGUGGACGUAUACGGUGUGACGCCUGCCCGGUGCCGGAAGGUUAAUUGAUGGGGUCAGCGCAAGCGAAGCUCUUGAUCGAAGCCCCGGUAAACGGCGGCCGUAACUAUAACGGUCCUAAGGUAGCGAAAUUCCUUGUCGGGUAAGUUCCGACCUGCACGAAUGGCGUAAUGAUGGCCAGGCUGUCUCCACCCGAGACUCAGUGAAAUUGAACUCGCUGUGAAGAUGCAGUGUACCCGCGGCAAGACGGAAAGACCCCGUGAACCUUUACUAUAGCUUGACACUGAACAUUGAGCCUUGAUGUGUAG